AGAUUUCCAGGGCGAUGUCUUGAGCUAGGGAUCCAUGGGGUUCUGUCUUCGACCGUGUAGUUCAGGCAGGAGUUGGAGGAGAGAAGUUGAGCUCCAGUCCUUCUAUUCCUCCAUCUUAAUCCAAGAUCGCUGGAAGUUGUUGCUGAACAAGGAUGAGACCCAGAUGUCCCAGCUCCAAUCCUGGCAAAGGAGGACCCAGGGCAGCGUCCGCUGUCCUUAGAUAUUCGCAUGGCUGGGAGAAGCCACAGAAAUUGGCUGGAGAAUGUUUGCAGACCUGGGUCAUCAUCUGAACCACUUGCUGAGCUCUAAAAACAGGGAUCCCUGGGCUACCAUUCUUUGGAGGAACUAAUGAGCCGUGAAUGCCUCUCCGCUCUGCCAGCUUCAUGCCACCUCAUGACUGCUGCCACCUGCUCAAGAAGAUGGAGGCCUGGAGUUCCCAUCAUGGCUCAGUGGUAAUGAACCCAACUAGUAUCCAUGAGGACAUGGGUUCAAUCUCUGGUCUCGCUCAGUGGGUUAAGGACCUGGCGUUGCUGUGGCUGUGGUGAAGUCCGGCAGCUAUAGCUCCUAUUCAACUCUUGGCCCAGGAACUUCCAUAUGCUGGAGGUGAGGCCCCAAAAAGACAAAAGAAAAAAAAAAAAGGAUGGAGGCCUGUGGUCAUCCAGGCAGGUGUGUGAAGUGGAGGCACAGACUGGGGGUGACAAGGCAAAGGUGGCCCUUGCAGACAGGCUGGAGCUGGUUUGGGGCUCUGGGAAGGAUGGAUGCCCCAGCCCAGCCCGCUGGUAGGUUGCAGCUGCUGCUCUGACCUCCUUGCCUUUUCCUCUUCA
rnacentral:lncRNA from 1 species